CACCCAGCCAUUUCCUACAAUCGCCCAUUAAUUUAAUUACUGAACUUGCAGCUGAUAGCUCCACUGAUUAUAGCCAGCCAAUAGCGUGUAGACUUGUUGUCUCACCACCUGUGACGUCAGCAAGACUGUAAAAGCUUGCGCUGCCCCAAAAUCUUGGUCCUCUACCAUCUGACCCGUACAUGUACGAUGUGCCCUCUCUGGCCCUUCUGGCACAAGUGUGACUCUUCUGUUGUAAAUUCUAUAACUUUCCAAAUUCAACUUAAUACAAACUUUUCGGCCCUUCAAACAUUUCUUAUUCUUUGCUCUCCCACAAUCUCAGUGCGCAUAUGAAGGUUGUUUAGACGUUUCAGUCCGUCUAAAAUAAUAGUCAUACCCUUCAUCGCGACAGGCGGUUAGUGUCUAUGAAUCAAAUCGCCUUCACUUACGUGCGUGUGCAACACAGACGUCCUUGGAGCCCGAAUAGUUGCAUUCAGGCGUCAUAAUGAAUUUCGUAAAGCAUGCUCUACUAAGUUUUACGUCGUAAACAGCUCAAGUAGCAGUCAAUUGCAAAAUAUUUUCGGGGUGAUUUUUUCAUGGAAAGUGUUGAAAUGGACUAUUGAGAGAAAGAAACCAAGUGAUAUCAAAUUAUAACAUCAAAAAAGCGGUUUAAGUUUCUUCUUCUAACAAAUUCAUUAGCCCUCGGUUGAACUAGGCGUAGAGUGUGCUGUCGUUGAAUUUGACGUCGAAAGCUCCGUCGUCGCAGAACUGAACCCUGUUGACGAAGAAUCUGACGCGGAGAUUUCUGAUGACGUGGAACUAGACGCAGAUGACGUGGACGUUGAUGUUGAAAUGGAGUCUGUUGAAUCCGAUAGGAGUGCGUCUGGCUUGGGGUAGAAGUCGAGAUGGAGGGUCGUGUAUCCACCGAGUUUGCACUCUCGGUCGUUGAGGUAGUGAAGCGCCAGGUCACCGGUCAGUUUGAAGGCCCGCCCCCAAACUAUACCCUGUAACAGAAAGAAAACCAACCUAUGAGCUUUUAAGAAAGAAAGACAAAGAGGCUGAAAAAGGCAUGUAUCACCGGCGGAUUCAGAGGGGACGUAGGGAACGUUUGCCCCCCCCCCUCCCGUUCGCCCGAAAAAAGGAGGAAAAAAACGGGAGGAAAGAAGAAGGAAGGCUGUAUCUAUUCGAUAAUUAUCCAUGACAAAAUUAAUUCAAACUGCAAAUAGAUUUUUUGAAAUUUUGAAAAUA